AUGCCGUAUUCUUUUGCUUGGGAGUCAGACUAUGGGUGAUAAGAUUCAUAGUCAAAAGGGCAACAGCCCAGAUCGUCAGCUAAGGUCCCUAAAUGUACGUUAAGUGGUAAAGGAUGUGGGAUUGCACAGACAACCAGGAUGUUGGCUUAGAAGCAGCCACUCAUUUAAAGAGUGCGUAAUAGCUCACUGGUCGAGUGAUCCUGCGCCGAAAAUUUCCGGGGCUAAAACGUACUACCGAAGCUACGGCAUCAUUUAUGAUGGGUAGGGGAGCUUCGUAUGCAGGCUGAAGCAUGACCGUAAGGACAUGUGGACAGUAUACGAGUGAGAAUGUUGGCAUGAGUAGCGAGAUGUGGGUGAGAAUCCCACAGGCCGUAAACCCAAGGUUUCCAGGGGAAGGUUCGUCCGCCCUGGGUUAGUCAGGACCUAAGCCGAGGCCGAAAGGCGUAGGUGAUGGACAACAGGUUGAUAUUCCUGUACCACCAAUAACCGUUUGAGAAAUGGGAUGACACAGUAGGAUAAGCUAACCGCACUGUUGGUUAUGUGCGGGCAAGUAUUGAGGCAGUUCCGAUAGGCAAAUCCGUCGGAAUAAUGCUGGGGUACGAUGCGGAGCGAAAUUUAGUAGCGAAGUAGCUGAUUUCACACUGUCGAGAAAAGUCUCUAUCGAGGUUAAAGGUGCCUGUACCGCAAACCGACACAGGUGGGUGAGGAGAGUAUCCUAAGGCCAGCGAGAGAACUGUUGUUAAGGAACUCGGCAAAAUGACCCCGUAACUUAGGGAGAAGGGGUGCCUUCGAAAGAAGGCCGCAGAGAAUAGGCCCAAGCGACUGUUUACCAAAAACAUAGGUUUCUGCUAAGUCGCAAGACGAUGUAUAGGAGCUGACGCCUGCCCGGUGCUGGAAGGUUAAGGGGAUCUGUUAGAGCAAUCGAAGCAGUGAACUUAAGCCCCAGUAAACGGCGGCCGUAACUAUAACGGUCCUAAGGUAGCGAAAUUCCUUGUCGGGUAAGUUCCGACCCGCACGAAAGGCGUAACGAUUUGGGCACUGUCUCAACAACAGACUCGGUGAAAUUGUAAUACCGGUGAAGAUGCCGGUUACCUGCGACAGGACGGAAAGACCCCAUGGAGCUUUACUGUAGCUUGACAUUGAGUCUCGGUGCUACAUGUACAGGAUAGGUGGGAGACUAUGAAGCAUGGACGUCAGUCUGUGUGGAGUCAUCCUUGGGAUACCACCCUUGUAGUACUGGGAUUCUAACCAGAGGCCAUGAAUCUGGUCUUGGGACACUGUCAGGUGGACAGUUUGACUGGGGCGGUCGCCUCCCAAAAAGUAACGGAGGCGCUCAAAGGUUCUCUCAGUACGGUCGGAAAUCGUACGAAGAGUGUAAAGGCAAAAGAGAGCUUGAUUGCAAGACAUACAGGUCGAGCAAGGACGAAAGUCGGACUUAGUGAUCCGGUGGUUCCGCAUGGAAGGGCCAUCGCUCAACGGAUAAAAGCUACCCUGGGGAUAACAGGCUGAUCUCCCCCAAGAGUCCACAUCGACGGGGAGGUUUGGCACCUCGAUGUCGGCUCAUCACAUCCUGGGGCUGUAGUAGGUCCCAAGGGUUGGGCUGUUCGCCCAUUAAAGUGGUACGCGAGCUGGGUUCAGAACGUCGUGAGACAGUUCGGUCCCUAUCCGUCGCAGGCGUAGGAAAUUUGAGGAGACCUGUCCUUAGUACGAGAGGACCGGGAUGGACGUACCGCUGGUGUACCAGUUGUUCUGCCAAGGGCAUGGCUGGGUAGCUAAGUACGGAAAGGAUAAGCGCUGAAAGCAUCUAAGCGCGAAGCCCACUUCAAGAUAAGAUUUCCCACCGCAAGGUUAAGAUCCCAGGAAGACUACCUGGUUGA
rnacentral:rRNA from 1 species